AAAAUUUUUUAUAUAGUCAUUGUAAUGGGCCAAAAUUGCCCGGCCCAAGACCCACAAACAAUAAACAAAAAAAGACCAAAACAGUCCAAUUUUUAAGCCUUGCCCAGCCCAAAUCACUAAAUAACAAACCCAAUACAAACCCAAACUAACCCAAAACCCUAAGCCCAAUCCUAUGGCCCAAAUUUUUUUUUCCCAGAAACAGCAAACCCUAGCACUUAGGCACUCCCUUUGGCCGGCGCCGCCUCCACCUUCACGCCACACCCGCAUUUCGCGCCUUCAUGUUCGCUCCACGUAGCCGUUACGCUCGCGCCUCCAUGCCUGCAAAAAAAAUGGGAAGCAGUACCAGAAAGUGCAACGAAAUAGGAGCAAGUUGUUUUGUUUUUUUUUCCUUUUCGGCUAUAAAGGCCGAAACAAAAUCAUUGUAAGGGGGGAUUGACUUUUGAAUACAAAAUACACAAAAGAGAAAUAGAGAGCAAGCCAAAAGAAUACUUUAAAGGUGGUUCUGUCGCUGUUAUAUGCUGUUUUUUUUUCCCUCUUUUAUUUUUUUAUUUUGAUUCAAAUCCACAACACACACAUAGUAUAAGAGGGAGUGAAAGAGGUUUACCGGAGUCGUACUCGGGAUAUCGAGGGGGUUAAAUACCUCGUUUACGUGGGUCGGGCCACCGUCUGCGGACAUGGUGUGUCGUAUCUCCGAUGGGAACGGCGCUGGCCGAAUGGGGAAGGAAAUGAGAAAAACAUUUUUUUAGUUUUAGGGUUUUUUCCAAAAACAAAGGUUAAAAUGUUUUAAAACAAUUUUUUUUUUGUUUAAAUAAAGCCCAAACGGCACUGUUUCAAUGCUGGCCGGCGCGCGCACCGACCCAACCCGGGGAGGAUCCACGCAUUUCUCUGCUUCGGGGAAUUUUUGAUAUUAAUCAUUCCCUUCUGCGAUGCUAUUCGAUUAGGUCUUUUUACCUCUUCUAAUUUUUCCUAGAAAUUUUAUGAAAGUUUCAUUUUGAUCCAUACUUAAACGCUGCGUUCAAGAACUUGGAAUAAUCGUUUUCGAUCCCCUCACACUUGCACACAUUACGCUUUAGACCCUAUUUCAAUUUCAAUGAUUUUUUUAUUUGUUAAUUGCCUC
rnacentral:lncRNA from 1 species